CUAAAGGCUCUAUGUAGAGCCACACACUAUAAAAUUCACUGUUAA
rfam:Sarcophilus harrisii ctg7180002420728, whole genome shotgun sequence.